ACCAAUUGAACAUUAGUAGGGUUGCCAUCUCUAAAAUUUGACAACCAGGACAAGACGCGUGAAACCCCCG